rnacentral:rRNA from 1 species
GGGUUGUGAGGUUAAGCGACUAAGCGUACACGGUGGAUGCCCUGGCAGUCAGAGGCGAUGAAGGGCGUGCUAAUCUGCGAUAAGCGCCGGUAAGGUGAUAUGAACCGUUAUAACCGGCGAUACCCGAAUGGGGAAACCCAGUGUGAUUCGUCACACUAUCAUUAACUGAAUCCAUAGGUUAAUGAGGCGAACCGGGGGAACUGAAACAUCUAAGUACCCCGAGGAAAAGAAAUCAACCGAGAUUCCCCCAGUAGCGGCGAGCGAACGGGGAGGAGCCCAGAGCCUGAAUCAGCAUGUGUGUUAGUGGAAGCGUCUGGAAAGGCGCGCGAUACAGGGUGACAGCCCCGUACACAAAAGCGCAUGUGCUGUGAGCUCGAUGAGUAGGGCGGGACACGUGGUAUCCUGUCUGAAUAUGGGGGGACCAUCCUCCAAGGCUAAAUACUCCUGACUGACCGAUAGUGAACCAGUACCGUGAGGGAAAGGCGAAAAGAACCCCGGCGAGGGGAGUGAAAAAGAACCUGAAACCGUGUACGUACAAGCAGUGGGAGCACAGGUUUACCUGUGUGACUGCGUACCUUUUGUAUAAUGGGUCAGCGACUUAUAUUCUGUAGCAAGGUUAACCGUAUAGGGGAGCCGGAGGGAAACCGAGUCUUAAUUGGGCGUUAAGUUGCAGGGUAUAGACCCGAAACCCGGUGAUCUAGCCAUGGGCAGGUUGAAGGUUGGGUAACACUAACUGGAGGACCGAACCGACUAAUGUUGAAAAAUUAGCGGAUGACCUGUGGCUGGGGGUGAAAGGCCAAUCAAACCGGGAGAUAGCUGGUUCUCCCCGAAAGCUAUUUAGGUAGCGCCUCGUGAAUUCAUCUCCGGGGGUAGAGCACUGUUUCGGCUAGGGGGCCAUCCCGGCUUACCAACCCGAUGCAAACUGCGAAUACCGGAGAAUGUUAUCACGGGAGACACACGGCGGGUGCUAACGUCCGUCGUGAAGAGGGAAACAACCCAGACCGCCAGCUAAGGUCCCAAAGUCAUGGUUAAGUGGGAAACGAUGUGGGAAGGCCCAGACAGCCAGGAUGUUGGCUUAGAAGCAGCCAUCAUUUAAAGAAAGCGUAAUAGCUCACUGGUCGAGUCGGCCUGCGCGGAAGAUGUAACGGGGCUAAACCAUGCACCGAAGCUGCGGCAGCGACGCUUAUGCGUUGUUGGGUAGGGGAGCGUUCUGUAAGCCUGUGAAGGUGUGUCGUGAGGCAUGCUGGAGGUAUCAGAAGUGCGAAUGCUGACAUAAGUAACGAUAAAGCGGGUGAAAAGCCCGCUCGCCGGAAGACCAAGGGUUCCUGUCCAACGUUAAUCGGGGCAGGGUGAGUCGACCCCUAAGGCGAGGCCGAAAGGCGUAGUCGAUGGGAAACGGGUUAAUAUUCCCGUACUUGGUGUUACUGCGAAGGGGGGACGGAGAAGGCUAUGUUGGCCGGGCGACGGUUGUCCCGGUUUAAGCGUGUAGGUGUGUGUUCCAGGUAAAUCCGGUUCACUUUAACACUGAGGCGUGAUGACGAGGCACUACGGUGCUGAAGUAACAAAUGCCCUGCUUCCAGGAAAAGCCUCUAAGCAUCAGGUAACAUCAAAUCGUACCCCAAACCGACACAGGUGGUCAGGUAGAGAAUACCAAGGCGCUUGAGAGAACUCGGGUGAAGGAACUAGGCAAAAUGGUGCCGUAACUUCGGGAGAAGGCACGCUGACACGUAGGUGAAGUGAUUUACUCACGGAGCUGAAGUCAGUCGAAGAUACCAGCUGGCUGCAACUGUUUAUUAAAAACACAGCACUGUGCAAACACGAAAGUGGACGUAUACGGUGUGACGCCUGCCCGGUGCCGGAAGGUUAAUUGAUGGGGUCAGCGCAAGCGAAGCUCCUGAUCGAAGCCCCGGUAAACGGCGGCCGUAACUAUAACGGUCCUAAGGUAGCGAAAUUCCUUGUCGGGUAAGUUCCGACCUGCACGAAUGGCGUAAUGAUGGCCAGGCUGUCUCCACCCGAGACUCAGUGAAAUUGAACUCGCUGUGAAGAUGCAGUGUACCCGCGGCAAGACGGAAAGACCCCGUGAACCUUUACUAUAGCUUGACACUGAACAUUGAGCCUUGAUGUGUAGGAUAGGUGGGAGGCUUUGAAGUGUGGACGCCAGUCUGCAUGGAGCCGACCUUGAAAUACCACCCUUUAAUGUUUGAUGUUCUAACGUGGACCCGUUACCCGGGUUGCGGACAGUGUCUGGUGGGUAGUUUGACUGGGGCGGUCUCCUCCUAAAGAGUAACGGAGGAGCACGAAGGUUGGCUAAUCCUGGUCGGACAUCAGGAGGUUAGUGCAAUGGCAUAAGCCAGCUUGACUGCGAGCGUGACGGCGCGAGCAGGUGCGAAAGCAGGUCAUAGUGAUCCGGUGGUUCUGAAUGGAAGGGCCAUCGCUCAACGGAUAAAAGGUACUCCGGGGAUAACAGGCUGAUACCGCCCAAGAGUUCAUAUCGACGGCGGUGUUUGGCACCUCGAUGUCGGCUCAUCACAUCCUGGGGCUGA